CAGGUGGGGUUAUUGCUCAUUUUUGGCUUUGUUGGAGAGCUUUGCUGUUCGAAAAUGAUUGGCUGAUGACUGAUACAGUAUAAAACGCAUCGGUUUUGUUUCCUCCACGGCAGUCGGUAAAAAGAGGAAAUGGAAAAGGAAAUGGUUUUCACAUCAUACACCAACCUAAUGUGGAUGUACAAAUAUAUAAAAUAUUUAUUGAAUAAACAAUACAUGGUACACAAUGCAGAUGCACAGUCCAAUAAUAGUUCAGAUCCACUUUGGCUUAUGAAUGAGAUGAUAGAGGAAUAUUCUAAAAAAUUAGAAUCUACAAAUGGCCCAGUAGUUUAUAAAAAUGGAGAAAUUUUAGAUUAUAAUGCUGACAUGGAGCUGGUGAUUCCAAAGGAAACACCUUGCAUAAUAAUCAUUCAUACACAUGAUAAACAAUAUAUUCGUAAUGGACUCGGCUGUUACUAUGGUUGUGGCCAUGUCUUGACUGCCUUACAUGUAGUUAAGGAUCCAGAUUUAGGGAUACUCAUUGCUUUUCCUACUAAAGACAUUAAACUGAUCUACAAGGCUGAGUUUACUAAAUGCUGUAACCGUGACAAAGCUCGAGAUCUGGCUUUUGUUAAAUUACUAGGCAAUACUAGUCCCCUUGGAGAUGGUUUACAAAACCAGAUCGCUGAAAUGGACAAAAAUGACAGUAUAUACUUUAAUACCCGAGAUCCUAAUAAUAAUUUUCAGAAGCAGGAGGGUGAAAUUCUUCACCAAUUUCCAAGCUCGUUUGAAAUGUCUGUAGCAGGUAAACCUGGAGACAGUGGCUCACCUGUUUUCAACGCUAAACAUGAACUGAUUGGCAUAUAUCAAGGUGUCAAAAAGAAAAACGGCGUCGCUUGUAAAACUUUUCCACGCUUUUCACCCUGGGGCCAAACAAAUGAUCGCAGUCUUACAGAGAUACUCAAAGAAGUUGUUUCCAAGAUUUUUUCGUAACCUGCUGAGGAACCCCUGUAACAACUGACCUGUUAUUUCUCAAAUUUCUUAAAAAUAUAAAAGAUUUUAAAAAAAGACAAUCUUUAUUUUUUUUCUUUACUAUCAUGUUUGUCUUUCCCUUUCUAUAUUAGGUAGCCCAGACUGACCGUGUGUGUGUGUGUGUGUGCGUGAGUGUGUGUGCAUACAUGUGUGUGUGUGUUUGUGUGUUUUGCGACACGUGUGCCAAUGUGCCAAAGCCUCUUUUUUAAGUAUCAUUUUUACUUUCUGUUGGACUGAAAAAUCUCAUUGAAAGCAAAGAAACAUUUACUACACUUGUGCCAACACCCGAGAGAUCGACUCCCAAAGAAAGUGGAAAUGGACUCUCAGCCAACAGCCUCACCUGGCGCAGAUCGUCCAGUCUUUACGAUGCAAGAGCAGCAUUACAUUUACAUUUACAUCAUUUGGCAGACGCCCUUCUCCUGAGCGACGUACAAAAGUACUUUUUUCUCUACCAUUGGUUACAUUAACUCUGGUUCACUAGGUUACAUACUGAAGAUACCAACAUCAGCAUCAGCAUCAGUCUCUUUUACAUCUGCAGCAACAACAGCAGGGAAUCCACACUGAAAAGAGCAGCAAACUGCCAAAAAGAAAACACCAUCUAAAGCCUGCUGGCAUGAGCAGCUCUCUAAAAUCUUCCUCAUUGCAUAUGGAAUGGUCGAGAGUACAACCGUGCUGUGUCUGGACUUUUACACUUGGCUCGCACAGGCUCACGUGUCAUACAGAGAAAACUCAGGCUUGGCUCACUAAUACAGAAAGGGACUGAACCUUGUUAGAUGAGCAGUUCACAUUUAUUCAUAAUUAACCCUUUCAAAUUAAUUAUAGGUCAAUUCUUAAGUAUGCCAGACAAAUUUUGAUCCAUUUUUUAAAAUAAUUUCUUUAAACUAACUAAAACUCUUCACACUGUUGCGCACUUGUAGGCACGGGCAAGAGUAAAAAAGGUUCACAAUUUAUCUUUUCUACUGCACAACAGGACCCAAAGCUCCUCGUGCAGCAUAGAGAAGAACCCUGAAAAGGUAUCUUAUAAGUUAAAAAAAAAAUGUAAUAAAUAACAAUUGCAAAUUAAAAAUUAAAAAAAUCCUAGUUAAAAAAUAGUUUAUUUAAAAAAAAUAUUAUAUAUAUAUAUAUAUAUAUAUAUAUAUAUAUAUAUAUAUAUAUAUAUAUAUAUAUAUAUAUAUAUUCAUUAUUAUUAUUAUGGAAGGCAGGAAGGUAGGUCAAGGUGUAUGAUCCUGUGGAAACCAUUUCCUUUUCCAAUUUACCUGACGGCUGCCCAGAGUGAGGUGCUCAAAUUUAAAUUUUCAGAAAAAAAAGCCUCACUCUUACUCUUACUGGACAAAAGACACCUGGAUGCAGAAGAUUUCUCUCUACAAAAUGCUGCUGUAGUCUUCAUCAACACAAUCAUCGCUUCAGCACAUUUAGUCCAUUACUCUUCUCCAUCUGUGGACUGUAAUUAUAUCUAAUUGCAUUAUUUGGUGUCACCCACAAGAGGAUGGGUUCCUUUUUGAGUCUGGUUCCUCUCAAGGUUUCUCCCUUAUGUCAUCUCAGGGAGUUUUUCCUUGCCACCGUCGCCACAGGCUUGCUCACUAAGGACUUCAGUCUAUAUCCAGUAUUCUGUAAGAAACAUUUAUUGUAAGGAAAAGAAUUGUACGAAUAAAUUGGAUCUGAAUUGA